AGCAGAGCUCAGACCCUGACCUGCCCUCUGCCAGCCACGCAGCCUGUCUCCUUCCAGCGGGCGCAGCGGGGAGGCCACCCUGGGCUUCUCGCCACCAGGUGGGCAGCAGAGCCAUGCUGGGUCCCCUCGCCGUCCUGUGCGCCCUCCUGCUUCCCGGUGGCGUGGCAGCACUCAGCAUGGAGCAGCAGCCGGCUGUGGUCGUGGGGCACCGGGGCAGCUCGGCCAUCGUGUCCUGCACAGCCAGCGCCUCGGUCAGCUACAUGCACUGGUACCUCCACCAGGAGGGGGCUGCCCCCAAGAGGAUCCUCAGACUGGAAAUGUCCAACUCACAUGUGAUCAGAGACGAUGUCUUGAAAGCAGACAAGGUCCAUGCCAAGAAAGGCAAGGAUAGCAACAGCUGUGACCUGAUGCUGCGGAAGCUGGAGAAGAGUGACGAAGGCGUGUAUUACUGCGCUGCCUGGGAGAGCACAGCACAGCCUUACGUGUAGCCCAGGUCCC